rnacentral:rRNA from 1 species
CAGCCGCCGCGGUAAUACGGGGGGAGCAAGCGUUGUUCGGAUUUACUGGGCGUAAAGGGCGCGUAGGCGGCGCAACAAGUCACUUGUGAAAUCUCCGGGCUUAACCCGGAGCGGCCAAGUGAUACUGUCGUGCUAGAGUGCGGAAGGGGCUACUGGAAUUCUCGGUGUAGCGGUGAAAUGCGUAGAUAUCGAGAGGAACACCUGCGGCGAAGGCGGGUAGCUGGGCCGACACUGACGCUGAGGCGCGAAAGCCAGGGGAGCGAACGGG